rnacentral:misc_RNA from 1 species
UGCUCACCAUCUUCCGCGACGUGACCGAGGCGAUCGUCGUCGGCUUCGGUCUCGGCUCCGUCAUCUUCAUCCACCGGAUGUCGAAGACGACCGCGAUCGAGGCGGCCACCCCGUUUGUCGUCGAGGACAAAGCCGACCGCGCCAAUGGCGAUCGCACGCCGUACGACAAGGCGAUGGCGAACGAUCGCGACGUCCUCAUCUACCGCAUCUCCGGCGUGUUCUUUUUCGGUGCGGCCGCCUCGAUCGGAUCGGUGCUCGCUCGGAUCGGCGAGACGCGCAGCGACGUGAUCGUGGACCUCUCGGCGGUUCCGUUCAUCGAUUCGACUGCCGCCGAGAUCAUCAAGGGGCUGGCGCAGAAGGCCGCGCGGCGCGGCCUGAUCUUCACGCUCACCGGCACGAC